AGUGAACGCUGGCGGUAUGCCUAACACAUGCAAGUCGAACGGCAGCACAGUAAGAGCUUGCUCUUACUGGUUGCGAGUGGCGGACGGGUGAGGUAUACAUCGUGAUCUACUUUUGCGUGGGGGAUAACGUAGGGAAACUUACUCUAAUAUGGCAUACGACCUACGGUUGAAAGCAUUUAAUCUUCGGACCUUGCGCGCUUGAAGGAGGCGAUGUCGUAUUAUCUAUUUGGCGGGGUAAAGGCCCACCAAGGAGCCGAUCUGUAGGUGGUCUGAGAGGAUGAUCAGCCACACUGGAACUGAGACACGGUCCAGACUCCUACGGGAGGCCGGAGUGGGGAAUAUUGGAAAAGGGGGGAAAGCCUGAGACAGACACAGCGCGUGGGUGAAGGAGGCUUUCGGGUUGUAAAGCCGUUUUGUUGGGAAAGCAAGUGAGCAGGUUAAUACCCCGCUGUUCUGACGGUACCCACAGAAUAAGCACCGGUAAACUUCGU
rnacentral:rRNA from 1 species